rnacentral:rRNA from 1 species
UGCGUAGGGGCCAAACGUUAUCCGGAAUUACUGGGCGUAAAGAGAAGCGUAGGCGUCUCGAUAAGUCUCAUGUGAAAGCCCGAGGCUCAACCUCGGAAACGCGUGAGAAACUAUCAAGAUUGAGUCAGAUAGGGGAAAGCGGAAUUCCUGGUGUAGCGGUGAAAUGCGUUGAUAUCAGGAGGAACACCAAUGGCGAAGGCAGCUUUCUGGAUCUAGACUGACGCUAAGGCUCGAAAGCGUGGGUAGCAAAACGG